rnacentral:rRNA from 1 species
ACGCACGCUGGCGGCGUGCUUAACACAUGCAAGUCGAACGGAAAGGCCCUGCUUUUGUGGGGUGCUCGCGUGGCGAACGGGUGAGUAACACGUGAGUAACCUGCCCUUGACUUUGGGAUAACUUCAGGAAACUGGGGCUAAUACCGGAUAGGAGCUCCUGCUGCAUGGUGGGGGUUGGAAAGUUUCGGCGGUUGGGGAUGGACUCGCGGCUUAUCAGCUUGUUGGUGGGGUAGUGGCUUACCAAGGCUUUGACGGGUAGCCGGCCUGAGAGGGUGACCGGCCACAUUGGGACUGAGAUACGGCCCAGACUCCUACGGGAGGCAGCAGUGGGGAAUAUUGCACAAUGGGCGGAAGCCUGAUGCAGCAACGCCGCGUGCGGGAUGACGGCCUUCGGGUUGUAAACCGCUUUCGCCUGUGACGAAGCGUGAGUGACGGUAAUGGGUAAAGAAGCACCGGCUAACUACGUG